rnacentral:rRNA from 1 species
AUUGAACGCUGGCGGAAUGCUUUACACAUGCAAGUCGAACGGCAGCACGGACUUCGGUCUGGUGGCGAGUGGCGAACGGGUGAGUAAUAUAUCGGAACGUGCCCAGUCGUGGGGGAUAACGUAGUGAAAAUUACGCUAAUACCGCAUACGAUCUAUGGAUGAAAGCGGGGGAUCGCAAGACCUCGCGCGAUUGGAGCGGCCGAUAUCAGAUUAGGUAGUUGGUGAGGUAAAGGCUCACCAAGCCGACGAUCUGUAGCUGGUCUGAGAGGACGACCAGCCACACUGGAACUGAGACACGGUCCAGUCUCCUACGCGAGGCAGCAGUGGGGAAUUUUGGACAAGGGACGCAAGUCUGAUCCAGCCAUUCCGCGUGCAGGACGAAGGCAUUCGGGUUGUAAACUGCUUUUGUACAGAACGAAAAGGUCUCUAUUAAUACUAGGGGCUCAUGACGGUACUGUAAGAAUAAGCACCGGCUAACUACGUGCCAGCCGCCGCAGUAA